rnacentral:rRNA from 1 species
UACGUAGGGGGCUAGCGUUAUCCGGAAUUACUGGGCGUAAAGGGUGCGUAGGUGGUUUCUUAAGUCAGAGGUGAAAGGCUACGGCUCAACCGUAGUAAGCCUUUGAAACUGGGGAACUUGAGUGCAGGAGAGGAGAGUGGAAUUCCUAGUGUAACGGUGAAAUGCGUAGAUAUUAGGAGGAACACCAGUUGCGAAGGCGGCUCUCUGGACUGUAACUGACACUGAGGCACGAAAGCGUGGGGAGCAAACAGG